rnacentral:rRNA from 1 species
UUCCAGACUCCUACGGGAGGCAGCAGUGGGGAAUAUUGCACAAUGGGGGAAACCCUGAUGCAGCGACGCCGCGUGAGUGAAGAAGUAUUUCGGUAUGUAAAGCUCUAUCAGCAGGGAAGAAAAUGACGGUACCUGACUAAGAAGCCCCGGCUAACUACGUGCCAGCAGCCGCGGUAAUACGUAGGGGGCAAGCGUUAUCCGGAUUUACUGGGUGUAAAGGGGGCGCAGACGGCGAUGCAAGCCAGGAGUGAAAGCCCGGGGCCCAACCCCGGGACUGCUCUUGGAACUGCGUGGCUGGAGUGCAGGAGGGGCAGGCGGAAUUCCUGGUGUAGCGGUGAAAUGCGUAGAUAUCAGGAGGAACACCGGUGGCGAAGGCGGCCUGCUGGACUGCAACUGACGUUGAGGCCCGAAAGCGUGGGGAGCAAACAGGAUUAGAUACCCGAGUAGA